rnacentral:tRNA from 1 species
UCCAUCCAAGGACCUGGCGGGUUGACCUGAUCCGGGUUCGGGUUUGGAUCCAAGUUUUGGACCUGGUGGGUGGGG